CAGUGAGCACGCCAAGCCACCGCCCCUUCCUGUUGCCCAGCGCCCCCCUGCAGCGCGCCCGCCCGCCCGCCUCCCUACCCUGGCCGCGGCGGCCUUCGCUCCAUGCACCUGCUUUAGGUUGCGCCGCCGUGCGCCCUCGCUGUGCCGGCCGACCUCGCCGCGGCCUGACCCAGUCAUCGUCCCUGCUUCAUCUCCCCGUCAUGCUCCUCCAUGGGCGUGGUGAUCACCUAUGCCGUCGUAGCCAUGCCUUGGGCGCCACACCGGCCGUCAGCCUCAUCUCUCUGCUCGCCUGUCUCCUUGCCUCCCUGUGCUCACCACGCCGGACGCCGCUCCCAACCCUCCACACUUCCCUCCCCAGGCCGCGGCGGCCUUCGCUCCAGCUCUGCCUCGCCAUCGACUGAGUCCCCACGUCCCUGCGCGGCGACGUGCUCGCCCAGGCCCUGCCAAGGACUCCUGCGAACUCCAACCUCAUCGCCUAGCCCCGCCACCGUUUCUAAAGUGGUGAUCCACAACUUCCCUCUGUUGUCAGUGAAUACAAUUUUUGCUAGUACCUUGCUGAUGUAUGUGUGUACCGUGUACGUGUGUGCAAUUGGAGCAUAGGAAUCCCAUGAAUGUGUGGAGAAGCAAGCCCCAACACGACGCCCGCUAGAUUUUCGAUAAAAUGAGUGAACUAGGGUUUCGUCGUUGUUCUUGCAAAUAUCGAAUUUAGUCUUGGUGGGCUAAUUCUCUAUUUUUGUUCGUUGGUUGAUUGAUGGACUGAUAAUUCUCUAGGAGUGUGUAGGUUCAUGAUCAUUUUUUAUUUCUGAUUCUGAAAACAAUUGGUUCCUAGUAAGAUAUUUUACUUGAGUGGGUGUGGUCAGAUUUUGUAUUGUCCAAAAUCCGUGAUUUCUCUGUUAGGGCCCAUACUAACGUUAGUCUAGUUCUUGGUUUUCUUCUAAUUUUAAUUUGGCUUACUCGCUCAGUAUGACCACAUUCAUUAUUAAAUUAUUAGUCAUAUUGUACAGUUGCUUUCAGACAUUUAUUAGGCAUUGGAUAUUAUUAUUAGCAAAAGCAACUUGCUUACCGUACUCCUUUUUUGAGCUGUGAUAUGUGAAAUUGAAGUGAUUGAUCUCGUGGCACUGUUAGUAUUGUUGGUCAUUAGAUUGAUUGCCAGGAACGAAUGGAACUCUUCCUCUACUGAAUCUGUUAUGCUUUAGAUCUUUAGGUUGAUGUGAAUGUAGUUUCAUGAAAUUUUAUACUAUUUAAUAAUGUUUAUCCGUUAGAUCAAAUGGUAUGUUAUCCUAAUCAGCUAGUGUAUGAUUCCAUUAAUGUAGUGUUGGUUUCCAGGCAAGCCCCAAUGCAUACAACCCUAUGGUUGUGCUUUUAAAUGUUUUUUAAUACUCUUAAGUCUAGUGAGUUGUGCAUUAGGUGAAAAUGAAAUAGAAUGUGCUCCCUAUUCAGAGUCCCUUUGUACACUUAUUUUUUCCUAAAAUUCUCGGGAGUCCUGAUCUAUUUGGAAUUUUGGAUGGAGGGAGUAGUAUCUUGGGCUGAUGAGGAUACUCUGGUUGUUCGCGUUCCAUAAAUUUUGUUGCAUUGUGGUGAGAGUUUGAGAAUGUUCUAUGUUUGUUCUAUCAUUUUUGCUUCAAAUUCUCAUGUGUUCUGCAUGUGCUCCUUGUGCGGAGUUCGAGAAUUUCCUACAUUAUGUACUUACUUAUUCAUUUCAAGUUGUCUUUAUUGAAUAUUUGUUUGUUUGUGAAAAUGUUGUAUCAUUGUGGCCAUAAGUUAUUUAGGGAAUAACUCUGGUUGCAGAUGAUCCAUUCAGCAUGUCCUCGUGCUCAUCGCAUGGAUCAUAUCUGGGCUCACACUGGGGCUCGUCGCUCGGCCUCGUCGAGCUAGAGAUCCUCCAACAUAGCAGCACAGACGCCAAGAAGGCUUAGCUGUCAUCCUUCUAGUUGUUCAAAAGCAGCACUAGCUUCAUGUCACCCUAUUGUUGUGUAAUGUUGCUGCCAUGGAGCCUUUGCAGGCACUUCCUAUAUUUCUUGAUAGGAUGUUUCAUCAUGUUCUUGCUGUAAUAUUGUCAGUGACAUUUGUUCUUGCCUUUGGAGAGGGAUCAUAUCUGAGCUCAGACUGGGGCUCAUGUCGCUCGGCCUAAUGUAGCAGCACAGUCAUUUCAGGAGACCAUUGAUAGUAUGAUGAGGUCGAUGCAAAAAAAAAUAACAACCACCUUCAUCAACUAUUAAGCUUCAGUCGAGGUCAAGCGUGUCCAUCUUUAAGUCUGCUUGACCACUAUAGGAUCUGUAACCUUAUGGAUGUUAUAGUAGCUAGUAACAAUAUGCUUAAUAUUUAGUACUUGAGUUGAAGUUAUAGGAUUUUCUUUGGAAUUGAAGUUAAAGGAUUUGUAGAUAUAUGUUUUGACGUUAUAUGAUUCUCUAAUGGAUGAAAUAUUCGUGUUCAAC